rnacentral:misc_RNA from 1 species
UAGUUGCCGUGUGUCUCAGUGAGG